GCAGGAAAGGGGGAAGGCAGGAAAGAUGUUAAAAGACAGGGAAGGAAGGAAAGAUGGAGUAAAGACAGGGAAGGAAGAAAGAUGGAGUAAAGACAGGGAGAGGUAAAGGAAGGAAAGAUGGAGUAAAGACAGGGAGAGGUAAAGGAAGGAAAGAUGGAGUAAAGACAGGGAGAGGUAAAGGAAGGAAAGAUGGAGUAAAGACAGGGAAGGAAGGAAAGAUGGAGUAAAGACAGGGAAGGAAGAAAGAUGGAGUAAAGACAGGGAAGGAAGGAAAGAUGGAGUAAAGACAGGGAAGGAAGAAAGAUGGAGUAAAGACAGGGAAGGAAGAAAGAUGGAGUAAAGACAGGGAGAGGUAAAGGAAGGAAAGAUGGAGUAAAGACAGGGAAGGAAGAAAGAUGGAGUAAAGACAGGGAGAGGUAAAGGAAGGAAAGAUGGAGUAAAGACAGGGAGAGGUAAAGGAAGGAAAGAUGGAGUAAAGACAGGGAGAGGUAAAGGAAGGAAAGAUGGAGUAAAGACAGGGAAGGAAGGAAAGAUGGAGUAAAGACAGGGAAGGAAGAAAGAUGGAGUAAAGACAGGGAAGGAAGGAAAGAUGGAGUAAAGACAGGGAAGGAAGAAAGAUGGAGUAAAGACAGGGAAGGAAGAAAGAUGGAGUAAAGACAGGGAGAGGUAAAGGAAGGAAAGAUGGAGUAAAGACAGGGAAGGAAGAAAGAUGGAGUAAAGACAGGGAGAGGUAAAGGAAGGAAAGGCAGG